rnacentral:rRNA from 1 species
GCGUGCCUAAUACAUGCAAGUAGAACGCUGAAGAGAGGAGCUUGCUCUUCUUGGAUGAGUUGCGAACGGGUGAGUAACGCGUAGGUAACCUGCCUUGUAGCGGGGGAUAACUAUUGGAAACGAUAGCUAAUACCGCAUAACAAUGGAUGACACAUGUCAUUUAUUUGAAAGGGGCAAUUGCUCCACUACAAGAUGGACCUGCGUUGUAUUAGCUAGUAGGUGAGGUAAUGGCUCACCUAGGCGACGAUACAUAGCCGACCUGAGAGGGUGAUCGGCCACACUGGGACUGAGACACGGUCCAGACUCCUACGGGAGGCAGCAGUAGGGAAUCUUCGGCAAUGGGGGCAACCCUGACCGAGCAACGCCGCGUGAGUGAAGAAGGUUUUCGGAUCGUAAAGCUCUGUUGUAAGUCAAGAACGGGUGUGAGAGUGGAAAGUUCACACUGUGACGGUAGCUUACCAGAAAGGGACGGCUAACUACGUGCCAGCAGCCGCGGUAAUACGUAGGUCCCGAGCGUUGUCCGGAUUUAUUGGGCGUAAAGCGAGCGCAGGCGGUUUGAUAAGUCUGAAGUUAAAGGCUGUGGCUCAACCAUAGUUCGCUUUGGAAACUGUCAAACUUGAGUGCAGAAGGGGAGAGUGGAAUUCCAUGUGUAGCGGUGAAAUGCGUAGAUAUAUGGAGGAACACCGGUGGCGAAAGCGGCUCUCUGGUCUGUAACUGACGCUGAGCUCGAAAGCGUGGGGAGCGAACAGGAUUA